rnacentral:rRNA from 1 species
UGUAGUCAAGUUUCUAAGAGCAAACGGUGGAUGCCUUGGCAUCUGGAGCCGAAGAAGGACGUAGCAAUCUGCGAUAAGCCUCGGGGAGCUGAUAAGCGAGCUUUGAUCCGAGGAUGUCCGAAUGGGGAAACCCCGCUGGGAGCUUCGUGCUACCCAGUGACUCCCGCCUGAAUAUAUAGGGCGGGUAGAGGGAACGUGGGGAAGUGAAACAUCUCAGUACCCACAGGAAGAGAAAACAACAGUGAUUCCGGUAGUAGUGGCGAGCGAAACCGGAACAGGCCAAACCGACCAUGUGUGAUAGCCGGCGGGCGUUGCAUGGUCGGGGUUGUGGGACUCUUACGCUGUUCUGCCGGACAGCACGCGGAUAGUUGUUGUAUAGACGAAUGGUCUUGAAAGGCCAGUCACAGAGGGUGCCAACCCCGUAGUCGAAAUGCAGCACUAACGCGAAGAGGAUCCCAAGUAUCACGGGGCCCGAGAAAUCCCGUGUGAAUCUGCCAGGACCACCUGGUAAGCCUAAAUACUCCCAGAUGACCGAUAGCGGACAAGUACCGUGAGGGAAAGGUGAAAAGUACCCCGGGAGGGGAGUGAAAUAGAACCUGAAACCGUUUGCUUACAAUCCGUUGGAGCCUCCUUGUUGGGGUGACAGCGUGCCUUUUGAAGAAUGAGCCUGCGAGUUAGCGAUAUGUGGCGAGGUUAACCCGUGAGGGGUAGCCGUAGCGAAAGCGAGUCUGAAUAGGGCGAUUCAGUCGCAUGUCCUAGACCCGAAGCGAAGUGAUCUAUCCAUGGCCAGGUUGAAGCGACGGUAAGACGUCGUGGAGGACCGAACCCACUUGGGUUGAAAACCGAGGGGAACUUCGUGAUAGCUGGUUCUCUCCGAAAUGCAUUUAGGUGCAGCGUUGCGUGUUUCUUGCCGGAGGUAGAGCUACUGGAUGGCCGAUGGGCCCUACAAGGUUACUGACGUCAGCCAAACUCCGAAUGCCGGUAAGUGAGAGCGCAGCAGUGAGACGGUGGGGGAUAAGCUUCAUCGUCGAGAGGGAAACAACCCAGACUACCGACUAAGGUCCCAAAGCGUGUGCUAAGUGGAAAAGGAUGUGGAGUUGCAUAGACAACCAGGAGGUUGGCUUAGAAGCAGCCACCCUUGAAAGAGUGCGUAAUAGCUCACUGGUCAAGUGAUUCCGCGCCGACAAUGUAACGGGGCUCAAGCACAUCACCGAAGUCGUAGCAUUCACACAAUAGGUAGGCCUUCGUGGUCCAGCCGUGUGGAUGGGUAGGAGAGCGUCGUGUGGCGAGCGAAGCGGCGGGGUGACCCAGCCGUGGAUGCCACACGAGUGAGAAUGCAGGCAUGAGUAGCGAAAGACGGGUGAGAAACCCGUCCUCCGGAAGACCAAGGGUUCCAGGGCCAGGCUAAUCCGCCCUGGGUAAGUCGGGACCUAAGGCGAGGCCGACAGGCGUAGUCGAUGGACAACGGGUUGAUAUUCCCGUACCGGCGAAGAACCGCAAGAGCUAAUUCAGUAAUGCUAAGAGUCCGAAUUCUCUUUCUGAUCCCUUCGGGGUGAGGAUUGGGAGCUAGCACUCGACCCUACGCUGAGGCGGCUAGCGUAUUAACAGGUGUGACGCAGGAAGGUAGCUGAGCCGGGCGAUGGUUGUCCCGGUGUAAGGAUGUAGGGCGAGGAAUAGGCAAAUCCGUUCCUCACAUAGCCUGAGAUCCGACGCGUACCCCUCACGGGGGAAAUCAGUGAUCCUAUGCUGCCGAGAAAAGCAUCGACGCGAGGUUCUAGCUGCCCGUACCCCAAACCGACUCAGGU